rnacentral:rRNA from 1 species
UACAGAGGGGGCAAGCGUUGUUCGGAAUUACUGGGCGUAAAGGGCGCGUAGGCGGCCUGCUAAGUCGAACGUGAAAUCCCUGGGCUCAACCCAGGAACUGCGUCCGAUACUGGUUGGCUUGAAUCCGGGAGAGGGACGUGGAAUUCCAGGUGUAGCGGUGAAAUGCGUAGAUAUCUGGAGGAACACCGGUGGCGAAGGCGGUGCUCUGGGCCGGAACUGACGCUGAGGAGCGAAAGCGUGGGGAGCAAACAGG